CUGCUGCCUCCCGUAGGAGUUUGGGCCGUGUCUCAGUCCCAAUGUGGCCGGUCACCCUCUCAGGUCGGCUACUGAUCGUCGCCUUGGUGGGCUGUUAUCUCACCAACUAGCUAAUCAGAUGCGGGCCCAUCUUUUACCGAAUAAAUCCUUUCUUUCUCAGAAGAUGCCUUCCAAGAACCGUAUGCGGUAUUAGUCACCGUUUCCAGUGAUUAUUCCCCAGUAAAAGGCAGGUUACCCACACGUUACUCACCCGUCCGCCGCUAAAAUAA
rnacentral:rRNA from 1 species